UUUGCUAUCCAGACCAAUGGCCCAUUUGGUUCUGUCUAUGAGCAGGACCUUUUUUCUCUUCUUCCUCCCUCAGCAUCCUCUGUCUUUGUGUCUCACAGGCUGAAAGUUAAAGACAUUAAACGCCCGAACAUUACGAUUUCCUUUCAUCCCGAGAAGGGAAUUUGCCUGUCGGUGGCCACAGAGGUAACCAUUGCUGGGAAAAGCUUCAUAGGUGGCACCAUGGAGAUCACUCUGCGCUCCAAAAUGAAAACCGAAAGUACCCUGAAACAUGCUUCCAAAGAUAGUGAACAAGUUCCUGAACUCUACUCUUGCGAAAGUCCUGCCCGGCAUGAUGUGCCCGGCAGCAGACAAAGUUGUGUCAAUUAUGGCUGUACGAAUCGAGGACAUGUUUGGUGAGGGGGGGUUGAUCUCUCACGAGCCUUCUCCUGCCUGUCAGAGUGGGGUUCCCCUUUCGAACGGCUUCUCUCCAAGCUGUCUGUCUGUCUGUCUGUCUGUCUGUCUGUCUGUCUGUCUGUCUGUCUGUCUGUCUGUCUGUCUGUCUGUCUGUCUGUCUGUCUGUCUGUCUGUCUGUCUGUCUGUCUGUCUGUCUGUCUGUCUGUCUGUCUGUCUGUCUGUCUGUCUGUCUGUCUGUCUGUCUGUCUGUCUGUCUGUCUGUCUGUCUGUCUGUCUGUCUGUCUGUCUGUCUGUCUGUCUCUCACUCUCUCUCUCUCUCUCUCUCUGGCACACCAUGAACUCUGUGCAUGCUCUCUUUCUGGCACUGUUCAUGCCUCACUGGCAGUCUCACACUGUGUGGAAAAAAAAUUGAAUUGAAGCAGGAGUUCCCUUUGCUUUGCUCACUUGGCUAUCAGUGCCAGGAUCUGAUCCACUCUCUUCUCCUCGUUGUUCCGAGCAGAGUCCUUCUCUGGUUUCCAUGCUAAAUGGUCAGAACUUAGCAAAAGCCUUGAAAUCAUUAAAACAGUUACGGUUUGGGGUGAACAUCAGACUAAAUGGAACCCAAUUAAAUCAUCGUGUGAUGGGGAUUGGCUCUCCUUGCUUUUAAAAUGGGCACUUAACAGAUACAUCUCAUUAUCAACACUAAUUAG
rnacentral:lncRNA from 1 species